UUUUUUCUAAGUUAUUUUGAAGAGUGACACCCCUUUAUGCUUUAUCUAUAAAAUACCAUCUAAAUCCACUAUAUUUAUUCUGGCUUGACUGGGCCCGUGGGAAAUCAGAAAGUGUUGAACUGAAGAAUUUGGAAGACCUCGAAAUGUUGUUUGUAUUGACUCUUCUUGUAUUGGUUGGCAUGUCAUAUGCUGAAUAUUACACGUCCCACCAAUGUACUUGUUACGAAUACCAAGCCUACUGUAAAAAUCCAGACACCGACACAGGUAUGAAUUGGAAUGAUGCAAAUGAUUAUUGUCUGGGACUUCCUGGUGGUGUAGGACUCGCAACCAUGGACACAGAGACAACCUAUACAGACGUCAAGAAAU